UUCUUCUAUUCUUUUCUCUAUACGUUGGUGUUCUAACCAAUAAUCACCGAUGCGAUGUUCUGUCCGAUCGAUUCAGGAACCAACUAACGGAUGCCAAAGUGCUAUACUUUGUGAAUUUCGCUAAACGGAUGCCAAAGUGCUAUACUUUGUGAAUUUCGUUAAACGAAUGCCAAAGUGCUGUCUAAACAAGACUAUACUUUGUGAAUUUCGUUAAGGUUCGGAUCUCGUGACCAUCGUUAGGUUUGAUGUGGCUUUACACUAAUACGUAUUCCACUCUGUUAAACUAAAUGUUUAACUACCCGAAACUCUACACCAUACUCCUACAAUCAAAAUGGAUACUGAAUCAUCAGAAGGUUCAAAACAAAUAAAGUAUAUGCUUAAUUAUCAGAAGGAGUAGAAUCAAGAAGCUUGUUAAAUCAAUAUUGCAUGCAUAUAAUGGAUUAAGUCGUGGUUAUCUUGAAUCACUGGCUAGUGGGGUAUUGUGCACAUUACUAAUUUCUCACGGUUAGGCUAAUAAAUCCUAACAGUGAUAAUCAUCACUACUUGGGUGAAAGGACCCAAUAGUGGUAUGACCAUCGUCACCAGGAGGUGACACGGCGCCAGAUAAAAAUAAGAUAGAAGCCAUUGUAAUCGCUCUUAUGCUGUAAUUAAUAACUAAGGUGUCAUUUUAUAAAACCUGAAUGAACUCACCAGUAUUUCCUGCUGACAAAACCUUUUUAAAACGCGUUUCAGGUAAUUACAGUAGAUUGGAAUAAAAGUGAUGGUACGGCACCAAAAGGCUUACAGAAGUAGCUUAAUUUAUCAAGUAAAUUAAAUUAAGAAAAGUUGUUUAUUGUAUUCGGGUUUAUCCCAUAUUAAAGCUACCUUUCAAAACAUGGGUUUAUCCCAUCUAUUUAAUAAAUAAAAUCUGGUGUUUUCUAAACUCUGAUAAUUUUUCCUAACUCACGGUCCUGAUGAAAUUUCCGUUGCACUACUUUUCUAAAUAACAACCAGUACCACUGAACUGGUUCGCGGCUCCCGAUUCCGUCCAGGGUGGGGUCGGGGGUCGUGACAGAAGGUGGUAUCAGAGCCACUGAUUUAAGCCAACAGGUGUUGUGAUAAUAAUACCUAAGCUUAAAUAAAAGAGUUAGGAAAUUGCUAUUAACUGGUAGCACACAUGAUAGCAUUUAGACAUGAACUUAAGAAAAGAUGCCUUAGUAUAAGCUUUGAGAUAAGCUAAAUACUUGUGCAAAUAAAGUGUGAUGGGUUGCCGCGAGGAUGAUAACUAGAACGUUGCAAGUAUGAUAAAUAAGCAAUAACACUUGACCACUGUUAUUUCUUAUUUAUUGGUACUACUUUGUUCUAGAAUAUGGUCCGUCAAGUGAAUACUAAUUUCCUGAUUCUUUGUUGAAAGUCAUAAUGCACUUUCCAAAUC
rnacentral:lncRNA from 1 species